rnacentral:rRNA from 3 species
GGGUUGUGAGGUUAAGCGACUAAGCGUACACGGUGGAUGCCCUGGCAGUCAGAGGCGAUGAAGGGCGUGCUAAUCUGCGAUAAGCGCCGGUAAGGUGAUAUGAACCGUUAUAACCGGCGAUACCCGAAUGGGGAAACCCAGUGUGACUCGUCACACUAUCAUUAACUGAAUCCAUAGGUUAAUGAGGC